rnacentral:piRNA from 1 species
UCAAAGGACCAAUAUUGUGGUAGGGCGUC